GGUCAGAAUGGCCGAGUGGUCUAAGGCGCUAGACUCAAGUUCUAGUCUCUAGAUGGAGGUGUGGGUUCAAGUCCCACUUCUGCCA